rnacentral:rRNA from 1 species
AGUCGAGCGGACAGAUGGGAGCUUGCUCCCUGAUGUUAGCGGCGGACGGGUGAGUAACACGUGGGUAACCUGCCUGUAAGACUGGGAUAACUCCGGGAAACCGGGGCUAAUACCGGAUGGUUGUUUGAACCGCAUGGUUCAAACAUAAAAGGUGGCUUCGGCUACCACUUACAGAUGGACCCGCGGCGCAUUAGCUAGUUGGUGAGGUAACGGCUCACCAAGGCAACGAUGCGUAGCCGACCUGAGAGGGUGAUCGGCCACACUGGGACUGAGACACGGCCCAGACUCCUACGGGAGGCAGCAGUAGGGAAUCUUCCGCAAUGGACGAAAGUCUGACGGAGCAACGCCGCGUGAGUGAUGAAGGUUUUCGGAUCGUAAAGCUCUGUUGUUAGGGAAGAACAAGUACCGUUCGAAUAGGGCGGUACCUUGACGGUACCUAACCAGAAAGCCACGGCUAACUACGUGCCAGCAGCCGCGGUAAUACGUAGGUGGCAAGCGUUGUCCGGAAUUAUUGGGCGUAAAGGGCUCGCAGGCGGUUUCUUAAGUCUGAUGUGAAAGCCCCCGGCUCAACCGGGGAGGGUCAUUGGAAACUGGGGAACUUGAGUGCAGAAGAGGAGAGUGGAAUUCCACGUGUAGCGGUGAAAUGCGUAGAGAUGUGGAGGAACACCAGUGGCGAAGGCGACUCUCUGGUCUGUAACUGACGCUGAGGAGCGAAAGCGUGGGGAGCGAACAGGAUUAGAUACCCUGGUAGUCCACGCCGUAAACGAUGAGUGCUAAGUGUUAGGGGGUUUCCGCCCCUUAGUGCUGCAGCUAACGCAUUAAGCACUCCGCCUGGGGA